CCUUAGAAAAUAAAUCAGAAAUCCUAUGUUUUAAUACCAAAAAUUAAUGAAAUUUUUAUGGCACAUAGAGAAGGAAGAGUCCUUCUGCCCAAGUAUCUAAAUCACUAAAAAUUUACUUGAUGAAUUUAUUUGGUGCGUGAGAAAUUGGAGUGCCAAAAGUUGGUACCCCUUAUCCUAUGUAACGUCCCCUGGUCCCCUAUUUAUAGGGGAUGCCCCAAAUAGCUUUUAGCUGAGAUUUUUAGGUGAGAUAGAGAGAAGGGAAGUGAAAAUAAUAAAAAAAUUGAAAAAAAUUUAAAAAAAAAGAAGAGAAUUU
rnacentral:lncRNA from 1 species